rnacentral:snRNA from 1 species
GUGCUCACUUCGGCAGCACACAUACUAAAAUUGGAACAAUACAGACAAGAUUAGCAUGGCCCCUGCACAAGGAUGACAUGCAAAUUCAUGAAGCAUUCCAUAUUUUA